AUGGAGAGUGCCAAGGUGCAGUUGAGUGCUAUGCCAAGCAGCCUCCAAGCCCUUGGGCUCAACCUUCCACUCCACCGGUCCAAGAAAGCGAGCUAUAUACUGUCGUGCAAGGCCACCGAUGGCCGCCGUGACGUGCUCCUCCGCCUUGCGGGCGGAGUUGCGACGGCGGGCCUAUCCGAGCUCCGUGGCGCACUUGCGAAGCCCAUCCAGUCCCCGGACUUUGGCAACUGCCAGCCGAUCGAUGAUCCCGACAAGGUUCCCCAAGUAAAAGACACCAAGUGCUGCCCCCCCCAAGUACGACGACAGAAUCCCAAUCCUCGACUUCAAGCUGCCCCCGCUCUCCUCGCCGCUCCGUGUUCGGCCAGCGGCCCACCUGGUAGACCGCAACUACCUGGCUAA
rnacentral:rRNA from 1 species